UUAAACUGUAUGUAUAAUGUCAAAGCAUAACAGACGUUUAUCUUAGGACACUUUACAGAUAGAGUGGGUCUUGACCACACUCUAUAGUUUAUAAAAAGUCCUAA